UCCAAACCUAUAUAACCUUGUGUUAAAAAAAAAAAGCAUUGCAACAACAGUGAAAUAUGGUGGUGGUAGUGUUAUGGCCUGGAACUGUUUUGCUGCCUCAGGACCUGGAAGACUUGCUGUGGUAAAUUAAUUCUGCUGUCUAUCAAAAAAUCCUGAUGGAGAAUAUCCGGCAAUCUCUUCGUGACCUCAAGCUGACGCACACUUGGGUUCUGAAGUAGGUCAGUGAUCCAAAACACACCAGCAAAUCCACCUCUUGAUGCUGCUGUUUGGUAGGCUGGGAUUGGAAAUGCAAGACUCCAGAGACUAAACUCAAAAAGGCAGUUUUACUACUGUACUUUCACAAACCUAAGUAGUACAAAAUCCCAAACUAAAGAAACUAAGAAAAUCUGACAACAAGGAAACACGGAGUGAUGAAGUAUUUGUUGAACUACUGCUUACUGCAACUUACUGCAUUUGGUGUUUUUUAAAAACCAGAUUAUUGCUUGAAAAUGUAUUGUGCAGAUUAUUUAGGUUUUUUGGUGGAAAAGAAUCACACUGAUAAUUUAAAAUUUUUAAAAACCUAUAAAAAAUCGUGUACAAUACACUUAGCAUUAUGGGGUUAAAAAUCAACCUGCCUGUAUUGAGGCAGGGGAGAUGUUUAUCACACUCACCAGGUUCCCCUUUCAAGCCUUUCUGUCCUUGUUCUCCAGGUUCUCCACGUGCCCCGGGUUCUCCAGGUGACCCAGGUGGGCCUUUAGGACCAGGAGGACCAAAAAGCUGACUGUAGCCCACAGGAGCCAUGAGGCAGAAGGUUGUCAGCUGAAUAGAAAAAAUAUCAACCUUGGUCAAAUAUAUUUAACCAUUAAAGCUGGUAACUGAAAUAGCAGGACUGAUCACACCAACCAGUCCCAGCUGGUCUGCCAGCCUUCUGGCACUGCCCACCGGACACACUGCCCUACCAGUCCAACACAUUCCAGUCCUCUGCAGCAGAGCUGCAGACCACACCCCCACCACAUACCUCCAGCACCAAACUAAGGUCAGAGAGUCAUCUGGCCAGCCUACCACCCACGAGAGGGAGAGGAAAUCAGCCCUGACCACCUUGAAAUGAAAUGGCUGGAGAGCGAGAUGCCACUGGCUGAUCCGAGCGUUGGCAUCCUUCAUGCGAUGGAGCCAUUGCAGUGGGCUUUGUCCAGCCAUUGGUAGGAUUUCUCGAUAUCAAUCACUUCUUCUAUCUCCCGGUGGGACACAUCGUGCACCAUCCUUUCCUUGCAUUGUAGUUUCUCUUUUUGCUCCUCUUCUUUCUUGAGUUUCUGCUGCCUGAGGUGUUCACUAAGCACAUGAUCAUCUCUGGCUGAGUUUGCAGCUUUCCUAAUGGCUCCUCCAUGGUUCCUGUUCGCCUGUGGGAUUCCAAGGUGCUCGUUGCUAUCCUCAGUGUCUACAGUGUUGCUUUCGGGUACUGCAUUCGCCUCAUUUCUGACUAUCUUUCUUCUAUUUGUUACCAUUCAACUAUACUUUUCCAGUCUGAAUGACAUUCCGGUGUUAUGGAUCAGUGAUUAUGUCAUCUCUGUAAAGGAGGUGAAUAAUGUUUGCUCCCUUCAGUCUUGUUAAUGAUCUGGCUGCAGGGUUCAGGCCUAUAAAGAGCCGCAGUGAGGACAGAGCAUCUCAUUGGUAAAUCCCACAGUUUAUGGUGAUUUGUGCAGUUGGCUUGACAUAUGCCUCUAGUGUUGUUUUCACAUCCCUGUUGAAUUCAUUUUGGGUCAUGUGGAUCUUGUACAGUUCUAAGCAUUCCAGGAUGCAUGUAUAAGGCAUUGUGUCAUAGGCUUUCUUGUAGUCGCUUCCAUGUCAUGCUGAGGCAGGUCAUUUCUUGGUUGUUCCAUGGGACUGGUCCUUUCUGUCUCUCUUCUAACCUCUGUCUCUCUUCCACAGCAUGUCUUUUAUCCUCUCUUCCUUCUCUCACCCCAAACGCAGCAGCAGAUGGCCGCCCCUCCCUGAGCCUGGUUCUGCCGGAGGUUUCUUCCUGUUAAAAGGGAGUUUUUCCUUCCCACUGUCGCCAAAGUGCUUGCUCAUAGGGGGUCAUAUGAUUGUUGGGUUUUUCUCUGUAUCUAUGAAGCACCUUGAGGCGACUUUUGUUGUGAUUUGGCGCUAUAUAAAUAAAAUUGAAUUGAAUUGAACUUUCUGGGGACAUUUCGACUUUGGUGAGCCAUUCUGGAUGCAUCUCAUCUAUUAGCAGCUAGUUCAUUUGUGCUGUCAGGUGCUCAAGGAGAGCAGUUGUUUACAUUUUCACAUUACUUAAUGUUUACCUGCACUGUCAGUUGGGAAAUCAUUUAGUGAGAAAAAACUUGAAGAAAGCUUAUAUUCUGGGUGGAUUGCCAGGGUAUUUCACAGGUUUCAGGAUGAAGUGAAAUAAAUUUAGUGGUCAAAUCACAUCAAAUCACAAUUUCAGCUUUUCAGUUUAUUGUUUAAUAUUAUAAAACAAGACACUUGGAUUUAUUUUUUCUUUGUCACUCUGGGGCAAAACCAGCUCUAAUCCUCACUGGGAGCAGAACUCAACAGCUUGGAAGAAAGAGCCUCUUUCCUUGUUGGACACGAAAUAUUUUUCAUCAACUCCUCUGACAAAAUUGCAGUUUAUAACUGAAAAACAGAAGCAUAGAGAGAAGAAAUCCGAAUAAACUACUUUUAUUUAUUUUUUUUAA